ensembl:lncRNA
CGAGAAGGUGACAGCGAUAAGACGUGGUGUAAUUAUUCAUCAUACGUUUAUGUAUACUUUAUAUACCACCAAUAUGUAUAUUACGAUAGCUUGUUACAAUACGAUCAUAAUUUUUUCAUAGUUUAUUGUUGUUGACAGACAUAUGUACAGUGAGACAAAACGAUGAGCGCAUCUGCAUCGAAGGUGAAGCCCUCAGAGUCGGUAGUUUGUAUCUGCGUCCUUUUUGUGCAAUACAUCCUGUAUCCAACUAAUGCAGAGUAUAUUCAAGUUGCAAACACACUGGUUGUGAAGUACCCUUUCCAGAGAAAUAUAAAAGGAAAUGACUGUGAAACUUGUGUUGAGGAGGAUUCAGUGUCUGUUGAGGCCCAUGUGAAUGUGCUACAAAGUGAGUAUCAGAAAACACACCUUGACUGUCAAAGACCACACAGCAGGAACAUUCUCCCGGAGACGUGGAAAAAGCACGGAAGGAAUGUCUGUGGAGGAUGUACUCAAACACACCCAUACUUAAGGACACCUGCUGGAGGGACCCUGCUUAACUCUUUCCUACCAUACAGCUGAUGGAUACUGACUGUAAAAUGGUAAUCAUAGGAGGAGGGCUCAGUGUGGUGACAGAAGAUGGAAUAGACGUGUGCCAGUGCACCAGCCUUGAUCAAGCCUUCAUACCAGCCUUCUGGAUGUAUUUUGCUUUCAAAAUUGCAUAUCCAACACACCUGAGAAAGACAAUGACUUUCCUUCAGAGGCACAUUGUCAACAUUAGAAGAUGGAGACAACACUGCCAGUAACUUUACUCUGAAUGAUUAGUCUUUUGUAUUAGAUCCUCAUGCCUCAACUCUACCAUUGCCCAAAGUGCACUCGAAGGACAUUCACUCUUUUGAAGUUAAUCCAACAUGUUGGAGUUGUACAUGCACAUUAACCAAAAAUUAGUAUAACCUGUGGUAUAGAUGAGUGCCAGUCAACUUUUCUUGUGAUUCCAUUCUUUUAGAAAACAUGCACAGGAAGCAUAUGUACUUCAUUUUUGGUCCUUUUGGUAACAAAAAUGACUGUCUCAGUGCAGAGUCAGCAAUACACUUGUAUUAUAAUAUAAUAGAGCGGGGUCAGGCUGCAGACUUGCACUCUCAGACACUUGUGCUUCCGCUAGUGACAACACUUAAAGUCUUUUUUAUUUUAUAUUUUAUUCUACUUAUUGGAUACUUCUUGUUUGAAUCUCUCAACAUUCGUUUUUUUCUCUUGUGUAGGUAUCAUUGACUGGAAGUCUGUCAGUCCAGAUGUGAGGAAGACAUACAGAGUGGCUGUAGAUACUGUGGUCUUGGAAAGAAGGGGGUCUUCACAGCUUUCUAUUCAGACAAAGAGUUUGCUGGAUUCUGUUCUGUGGACUGCUACUACAGAAUGAAUGAAUGAAUGAAUAAGUGGUUUAUCUAUCUAUCUAUCUAUCUAUCUAUCUAUCUAUCUAUCUAUCUAUCUAUCUAUCUAUUUAUCUAUCUGUCUAUCCAUCUAUCUAUCUUUUACU